AGAGUUUGAUCCUGGCUCAGGACGAACGCUGGCGGCGUGCUUAACACAUGCAAGUCGAACGGAAAGGCCCUUCGGGGUACUCGAGUGGCGAACGGGUGAGUAACACGUGGGUGAUCUGCCCUGCACUCUGGGAUAAGCCUGGGAAACUGGGUCUAAUACCGGAUAGGACCGCAUGCUUCAUGGUGUGUGGUGCAAAGCUUUUGCGGUGUGGGAUGAGCCCGCGGCCUAUCAGCUUGUUGGUGGGGUAAUGGCCUACCAAGGCGACGACGGGUAGCCGGCCUGAGAGGGUGACCGGCCACACUGGGACUGAGAUACGGCCCAGACUCCUACGGGAGGCAGCAGUGGGGAAUAUUGCACAAUGGGCGCAAGCCUGAUGCAGCGACGCCGCGUGAGGGAUGACGGCCUUCGGGUUGUAAACCUCUUUCAGUAGGGACGAAGCGAAAGUGACGGUACCUACAGAAGAAGGACCGGCCAACUACGUGCCAGCAGCCGCGGUAAUACGUAGGGUCCGAGCGUUGUCCGGAAUUACUGGGCGUAAAGAGCUCGUAGGUGGUUUGUCGCGUUGUUCGUGAAAACUCACAGCUUAACUGUGGGCGUGCGGGCGAUACGGGCAGACUAGAGUACUGCAGGGGAGACUGGAAUUCCUGGUGUAGCGGUGGAAUGCGCAGAUAUCAGGAGGAACACCGGUGGCGAAGGCGGGUCUCUGGGCAGUAACUGACGCUGAGGAGCGAAGGCGUGGGUAGCGAACAGGAUUAGAUACCCCGGUAGUCCAA
rnacentral:rRNA from 1 species